rnacentral:rRNA from 1 species
UACAGAGGGUGCGAGCGUUAAUCGGAAUUACUGGGCGUAAAGGGUGCGUAGGUGGUUUUAUAAGUUGUUUGUGAAAUAUCCGGGCUUAACCUGGUUGCUGCGAACAAGACUGUAAGACUAGAGUAGGGUAGAGGGAAGUGGAAUUUCCGGUGUAGCGGUGAAAUGCGUAGAUAUCGGAAGGAACACCAGUGGCGAAGGCGGCUUCCUGGACUCAUACUGACACUGAGGCACGAAAGCGUGGGGAUCAAACAGG